UUUACGGAGAGUUUGAUCCUGGCUCAGGAUGAACGCUGGCGGCGUGCUUAACACAUGCAAGUCGAACGGUGAAGCCAAGCUUGCUUGGUGGAUCAGUGGCGAACGGGUGAGUAACACGUGAGCAACCUGCCCUGGACUCUGGGAUAAGCGCUGGAAACGGUGUCUAAUACUGGAUAUGAGGCGUGAUCGCAUGGUCAUGUUUGGAAAGAUUUUUCGGUCUGGGAUGGGCUCGCGGCCUAUCAGCACUUGUUGGUGAGGUAAUGGCUCACCAAGGCGUCGACGGGUAGCCGGCCUGAGAGGGUGACCGGCCACACUGGGACUGAGACACGGCCCAGACUCCUACGGGAGGCAGCAGUGGGGAAUAUUGCACAAUGGGCGGAAGCCUGAUGCAGCAACGCCGCGUGAGGGAUGACGGCCUUCGGGUUGUAAACCUCUUUUAGCAGGGAAGAAGCGUGAGUGACGGUACCUGCAGAAAAAGCGCCGGCUAACUACGUGCCAGCAGCCGCGGUAAUACGUAGGGCGCAAGCGUUAUCCGGAAUUAUUGGGCGUAAAGAGCUCGUAGGCGGUUUGUCGCGUCUGCUGUGAAAUCCCGAGGCUCAACCUCGGGCCUGCAGUGGGUACGGGCAGACUAGAGUGCGGUAGGGGAGAUUGGAAUUCCUGGUGUAGCGGUGGAAUGCGCAGAUAUCAGGAGGAACACCGAUGGCGAAGGCAGAUCUCUGGGCCGUAACUGACGCUGAGGAGCGAAAGGGUGGGGAGCAAACAGGCUUAGAUACCCUGGUAGUCCACCCCGUAAACGUUGGGAACUAGUUGUGGGGACCAUUCCACGGUUUCCGUGACGCAGCUAACGCAUUAAGUUCCCCGCCUGGGGAGUACGGCCGCAAGGCUAAAACUCAAAGGAAUUGACGGGGACCCGCACAAGCGGCGGAGCAUGCGGAUUAAUUCGAUGCAACGCGAAGAACCUUACCAAGGCUUGACAUACACCAGAACACCGUAGAAAUACGGGACUCUUUGGACACUGGUGAACAGGUGGUGCAUGGUUGUCGUCAGCUCGUGUCGUGAGAUGUUGGGUUAAGUCCCGCAACGAGCGCAACCCUCGUUCUAUGUUGCCAGCACGUAAUGGUGGGAACUCAUGGGAUACUGCCGGGGUCAACUCGGAGGAAGGUGGGGAUGACGUCAAAUCAUCAUGCCCCUUAUGUCUUGGGCUUCACGCAUGCUACAAUGGCCGGUACAAAGGGCUGCAAUACCGUGAGGUGGAGCGAAUCCCAAAAAGCCGGUCCCAGUUCGGAUUGAGGUCUGCAACUCGACCUCAUGAAGUCGGAGUCGCUAGUAAUCGCAGAUCAGCAACGCUGCGGUGAAUACGUUCCCGGGUCUUGUACACACCGCCCGUCAAGUCAUGAAAGUCGGUAACACCUGAAGCCGGUGGCCUAACCCUUGUGGAGGGAGCCGUCGAAGGUGGGAUCGGUAAUUAGGACUAAGUCGUAACAAGGUAGCCGUACCGGAAGGUGCGGCUGGAUCACCUCCUUU
rnacentral:rRNA from 1 species